AGUGAACGCUGGCGGCGUGCUUAACACAUGCAAGUCGAACGAUGAAGCUUCUAGCUUGCUAGAAGUGGAUUAGUGGCGCACGGGUGAGGAAUAUAUAGCUAAUGUGCCCCUUAGAGGGGGAUAACAGUUGGAAACGACUGCUAAUACCCCAUACUCCUUCUUGUUAUAAGACAAGUCGGGAAAGUUUUUUCGCUAAGGGAUCGGGCUAUACGGUAUCAGCUUGUUGGUGAGGUAAUGGCUCACCAAGGCUAUGACGCCUAUCUGGUCUGAGAGGAUGAUCAGACACACUGGAACUGAGACACGGUCCAGACUCCUACGGGAGGCAGCAGUGGGGAAUAUUGCACAAUGGAGGAAACUCUGAUGCAGCAACGCCGCGUGGAGGAUGACACAUUUCGGUGCGUAAACUCCUUUUAUGUGAGAAGAUAAUGACGGUAUCACAUGAAUAAGCACCGGCUAACUCCGUGC
rnacentral:rRNA from 1 species